UCUCCUACUUGGCAGGGGAGAUACCAUGAUCACAAAGGUGGUUCUCCCAGGGCGAGGCUUAUCCAUUGCACCCCAAAUGGGCUGACCCCUGCUAUUUCCCCAAAUGUGGGGAGCUCAACUGCACAAUUUGUGGCAGUGGGGAACUCUGUUCAUUCUCUCCCCUG